GUGGUAAUGCCUAGGAGCCACUGAGGGUAUCAUGUUUUAGCGUAAUUUUUGAGAAGGCUCUCUGUCAGGGGGAAAAGGAUAUAAUCAGAACUUUUCAGUUUGUGGGAUUGAAAAGCAAAAUACUCCUAAGACCUUUAAGGAAAGAAAUUUAAAGAAAGGACAGUGAUUUGGGGUCUUCAGUCUUUUAACAUGGUGAAGAAUGGAAGUUGCCCUGUGUGACCUUGGAAAACAAGUGUGUGGCAACCUCUGUGGGGUUUAUCUCUGGGUGAGUGAGCUCAUCCCUCCUGACCCAAGGCAGCCUGACCAAGGGUGUGUGUCACCAGAGUCUGACAGUCUAUUGGACUAGCUUUCAACAGUAACACCAGGUAGCAGAAAGAAGAAAUGGCAAAACUAGCUCUCUUUCUGUUCCAUUGUGGAAGACAGAAAGAACCUCUUUUCUACUAGGAAAAGCCAGGGAUUUUGGAGAAUUCAGGGCAAAGGAGGAGAAGAAGGAAGAUGCUGAACUUCCUACUAAAAAUACAGCAUAAAGACAUAGAGUUGACAGUUGACACUUUGGCAGGAGCCGAAAGAUCAAAGAAGAGGACUGCAGAGAGAUGAAGACAGCAGUAAUUUGUUCUAGAUCUCUGCUCCCUGAAAGCACCUUAAAGUUCUUCAUGGAGCUGGAAUCCAGAAAAUUUGCCGCCUUGAAUAAUUCGACUUUCAAAUCUGUUGGUGGUUCAUGACAAUUGUGAUUUAGUUUUCUUUAACAUUUCAUUCUCUGCCUAGUUUUCACCCCUCGCUUUUUUUUACCCCUCUGCCUUAAGUUCUUUGAUUUUAAGAAUCAGAAUGGUGGUCUCCUUUAGAAAUAUUAAGCAAGACUAUCGAGUUAGAAACAGGAUAUACAAAGAAAGAUGAGAAAAAUCAAAACCAACUUCUAAAAUAAGGAGAAAGCCUGUAUUUUACAAAGCUUUAUGAUUUUAUAAUGACUCUCUUACCCCACUCGAAUGUUCUAGGAGAGCUUUAGAGCUCACUUCUUGCCCAGAAUCUCCUUUGUAGAUAAUAAGUUUGACAUGCUUUAAAUAUUUACAGUGGGACCCCAGAGUGUUACAGAAAACAAUGCAGCUUCUAGCAUAUGGUCUAUGAAGCUAGAAUCUUCAUUAGUGUCACACAUGGUGAUAGAAUGGAAAUAAACAGUCUAAAAUAGGCAAGCCUGGCGGGCUGGAUCAGCUAAAUGAUGAUAAACAUUCACGUGCCUUCCCAAUAUGUGUUCUAUUAUAUAUGUUUGUGUUUUCUUCUGAUUAAAGAAAAUAAUUUUUGUUUAAACAGCAUGAAAAUGUUAAUAAAGAAAAUGUAAGCUGAAAAAUAUAAUUACUACCUUCCUAAUAAAACUUUUAUUUUCUUUCUUUGCUUCUCUCUCUCUCUUCCUCUGUCUCUCUUCUCUGUCUCUGCCUCUGCCUCUCUCUCUCUCAGACACACACCACACACACUUAAACUUGUCUUUGCUGGCCUUCAUUCUCUCCUCUUUCAAACUGGCUUUCUCCACAUGACAGUGGACAUGGAACGUGGCCGGGAGCAACUGCUCCAAUGUUGUAAACGUGAGAGCUUCAUGACUCUGAGGAAAGACAGGGUUUCUCUCUCUCUGCUUCUGUACAUAAAACUUUUGUGGAACAAUGCUGAUUAACCAAAUUUGAGUCUUGUGCCCAUCCUUCACACCAAUCUGUGUUCCUAAAACAAUGGGACCCUUUGAAUGGCGAGCCUGGUUUAUGGGCCCAUGACUGGCAGCCUCACUAGUGUCAAAAAGUUAGAGCAGAGGAAGAUCAGAUCCCCAGAAGAGGAGGUUGCAUUUACUAGAGGAAGGAGAAAGGGGCAUGUUCAGCAGACAAAAACAGAGAUGUCUGCUACAUGAACAAUUAAGGAUACAGUGAGAAUUGCCAGACAUGCUAUUUUGCAAGAACUGGUUAUGAAAUCUUCCACAGAAGAUGACAAUGUGUUUAUUAGCUAUUUAGUAGACAUUAAGUGUCUACCACUGUAACCUUCAACAUUCAGUUUCUCCUGUGCUGGGAUCUAGGAGGAAGAAACUCAAAUCCAAACCCAUUUCCCUGGUGGAGUCGUUUACACAUACUUCUUGUGACAUUUAGAGUGUCCCCCUGCAUUCACAAGAGGUUUUUUCUGUAAUUCUGAAUUAAUUCUGUAUUUCGUCAGAGGCCACUGCUGCUGAUACUUCACAACAUAGCAGUCAUGGCCGCCCCAUUGAUCCUGUUUCCUCUGUUGCCUGUGUACACACUAACCCCACACACUUCACUGUUCAGCCUCUCACCACACUCAGAUGGGCUGACCAAGUCGUGACUUGGGGUUUGUCACCUUCCCUUUGAUAUCAUGCCCAGAUUCUCAUGCUCUUCAAUAUUUCCUCUUUUUCCAUGACUUUGAUCUUCAGCUGAGGUAAAAAAUGGCCUUCUUCCCUCCAAUAAAAUAACUCUUAACUGGCUCCCAAAUGGCAUCCUUGGCAGUGCUCUAAAGAUAAAAAUCCUUUAUGAGGCUCAAUUUCUUAAAAUUCUCCACCUAAGUCAUCUAAACCCAAUUGUUGGGAACUGGUACUGCUUACUAUUGCUCCCUCAAGUUCCGUC
ensembl:lncRNA